rnacentral:lncRNA from 1 species
AAAGGUAUUAUUUUACUGUCAUAAUGUGUUAAUGAAUUUGCACUAAAUGUGCCGGAUUGGGGCCUCAGUGUGUGAUUAGAUCAGUUGGUUACUACCUGUGUCCUCAAAAGGAUGUCUAAGAGUAUAAUGGGCUGACAAAUUUAAGGUUGGCAAAUUAGAGGAGAGAAUAAAAAUUGUUCCAAUAAUAUUUGGACCCACACAAUAGCGUAAUUAACUUGAGAGUGGAAUGUUUUUACG